AGGAUUAACGCUGGCGGCGUGCCUAACACAUGCAAGUCGAACGAGGUAGCAAUACCUAGUGGCAGACGGGUGAGUAGCGCGUGGUCAACCUACCGUUGAGUGGGGGAUAACUAGCCGAAAGGUUAGCUAAUACCGCAUACGUCUCCGAGGGGCAUCCCUUGGUGAUAAAAAGGAGCAAUCCGCUCGAUGACGGGACCGCGUCCCAUUAGCUAGUUGGUGGGGUAACGGCCUACCAAGGCAUCGAUGGGUAGCUGGUUUGAGAGAGCGACCAGCCACACUGGGACUGAGAUACGGCCCAGACUCCUACGGGAGGCAGCAGUGAGGAAUUUUCCGCAAUGGGCGAAAGCCUGACGGAGCGACGCCGCGUGUGGGAAGAAGGCCUUCGGGUCGUAAACCACUGUCGAAGGGAAAGAUAAUGACGGUACCCUUGGAGGAAGCCCCGGCUAACUACGCGCCAGCAGCCGC
rnacentral:rRNA from 1 species